UACAGAGGGUGCAAGCGUUAAUCGGAAUGACUGGGCGUAAAGGGCGCGUAGGCGGUUUAAUAAGUUGGAUGUGAAAGUCCCGGGCUCAACCUGGGGAUGGCAUCCAAAACUGGUAAGCUAGAGUACAGGAGAGGUGAGUGGAAUUUCCGGUGUAGCGGUGAAAUGCGUAGAGAUCGGAAGGAACAUCAGUGGCGAAGGCGGCUCACUGGACUGAUACUGACGCUGAAGUGCGAAGGCGUGGGGAGCAAACAGG
rnacentral:rRNA from 1 species